GGGGUAUGAUUCACUAUUUACCUGCUGCUCUCUAGGUGGUAAUUUUAGGCCCGUUUGGUAUGUUAGAAACGAUUCAUAUUCAGUUUUCUCUAUAGAAGUGUUUCUAUAGUGAAUCAGAAUCUUUUUUUGAAAUCGUUUGGCUGGUUGGAAAGAUUCUUGUUUUACCUCGUUUUCUUAGAAAAAUCAUAGAAAUAAAUAUGCUUCAAAAAAAUAUCAAAAAUGUUUUGUGUGCGAGGAGCAUCUCAAUAAGAUCCAUUUUGACUAUAGUUUCACUUAUAAAGAAUAAUAGUAAAAGAAUAAUAGUAAAAGAGGACCGCUACCAGACUAGAGAGUGUAACGCCCGUAAAAAUCUACCAAUUAAAUCACUCGUUAAAAAUGCAUUCCAAAAAUUUUUCCGACCGCUGAGCCUUGUCAAAUCUCCUCCUUUCCGUCGGAUUCGCCAUCCCGGUCCCCGACAUCUUCAACCCUCUUUUCUGUCCCCGUAAAUUUCGUCGCGUGCCCGUCAAGUCCAUCACGCGUGCCGUCAAAUCCCGCAAUUUCCGCCGAUUCCCUCUUUUCCUUCCUUCCCUUCUUUCCCUCUCUUCCUUUCUUCUCCUUUUCCUUUCUCCUCCUUUCUUUUUCUCUUUUCCUCUCUCUCCCUUCCUCCUUCUCCCUCCUGCGGCUGGCAC
rnacentral:lncRNA from 1 species